AUCAUCUCGGCUGGAAGACACCUCCGAGAUGACUAAGCCUCGGGAACAGGUUGGCUAAAGAGGUCUGGAAGCGGGUCAGGGUCCGAGGCUAACUCGGUGCUUUCAGGAGGAAAGCCCCUCGCCGAAGCACGGCACCGCAGCCCCCACGGAGGCUGUGCCGAGGACGCACGGCCCCGCGGCGUUCGGCACCCGAGCUCCGGGUUAAGUGGGUAAGUGGGUCAGGGUAAAUAACCCCUGGGAUUAGUCCCCGCAGGUUUGGGCUCAACCUGCGCUCCGGAUGAGGCGGCGCCAGGCGCCAGAUGUUCCUCGGUCACCACGCUCCUCAUUUUCGGAGCUCUUCGUGCCCUGCGCUUUGCUGCGAGCGCUCAAAACCCCC